AUUGAACGCUGGCGGCAUGCCUUACACAUGCAAGUCGAACGGUAACAGGUCUUCGGAUGCUGACGAGUGGCGAACGGGUGAGUAAUACAUCGGAACGUGCCCGAGAGUGGGGGAUAACGAAGCGAAAGCUUUGCUAAUACCGCAUACGAUCUCAGGAUGAAAGCAGGGGACCGCCAGGCCUUGCGCUCACGGAGCGGCCGAUGGCAGAUUAGGUAGGUGGUGGGGUAAAAGCUUACCAAGCCGACGAUCUGUAGCUGGUCUGAGAGGACGACCAGCCACACUGGGACUGGGACACGGCCCAGACUCCUACGGGAGGCAGCAGAGGGGAAUUUUGGACAAUGGGCGCAAGCCUGAUCCAGCCAUGCCGCGUGCAGGAUGAAGGCCUUCGGGUUGUAAACUGCUUUUGUACGGAACGAAAAGACUCCUUCUAAUAAAGGGGGUCCAUGACGGUACCGUAAGAAUAAGCACCGGCUAACUACGUGCCAGCCGCCGCCGUAACAC
rnacentral:rRNA from 1 species